rnacentral:rRNA from 1 species
ACCUGAAAUCAAGCAAGAUCACCCGCUGAACUUAAGCAUAUCAGUAAGCGGAGGAAAAGAAACUAACAAGGAUUGCCUUAGUAGUGGCGAAUGAACCGGCAAUAGCUCAAAGUGUAAAUCUGAGGCAUCAAGUCUUAGAAUUGUAAUCUAUAGGCCUUUUAGGGAAGCCACGGUCCUAGCAUAAGUUCCUUGAAAAGGGAUGCCAAAGAGGGUAAAAGCCCCGUAUUUGGUUAGGACUGGGUGUACCGAAGGGUUCCAAGAGUCGGGUUGUUUGGGAUUGCAGCCUAAAAUGGGAGAUAAACUUCUUCUAAAGCUAAAUAUUUAUGGGAAACCGAUAGCAAACAAGUACUACGAAGGAAAGAUGAAAAGAACUUUGAAAAGAGGGUUAAAAGACUUGAAAUCGUUGAGGAGAAAAGCGGUAGAAGAGAAAUGAUUUCAUUUAGAAGUAUGUAGCUAUGUAGGUGUCUUCUGCGGUAAUGGUACUUCAUAGGGCCUAGCUGUAGACCGGCGUCGCAUUGCUGCUUUUUCUGGAUGAAGUGCAAAAUGAGGUCUCGCUUGCGGAAACGUCUCUAGGGAAGACUCUGGCCUUGACGCUGGAAGCCCUGGUCUCCAA